UACCUGGGGUGCAAACGUUGCUCGGAAUUCUUGGGCGUAAAGCGCACGUAGGCGGUUCGUUAAGUCGGAUGUGAAAGCCCUCGGCUCAACUGAGGAAGUGCACCCGAAACUGGCGAGCUUGAGUACGAAAGAGGAUCGCGGAAUUCCCGGUGUAGAGGUGAAAUUCGUAGAUAUCGGGAGGAACACCGGUGGCGAAGGCGGCGAUCUGGGUCGAUACUGACGCUGAGGUGCGAAAGCGUGGGGAGCAAACAGG
rnacentral:rRNA from 1 species